CAAUAUAGUCUAUCAUUUUAAAUUCAACAAAAUUUUUAACAAUAUCUCAUUGACUUUUUCACAUUCAGAUACUUUCAGUUGUUUUCAUAUGUUUCUCCAAUAAAUUCAAGAGUCUAUACACGUCGUAGCCUCCAGCUUAUUCAACUAUAAGAACGGAAUAGUCCGUCCGCAGAAACAGAAGUCAAAAUGAUAAGCCACAGGCCCAUUUAUAGCCAUGACCAAACUAUUACCAAUUCUGUUUGCCUGCUACAUGCACCUGUUUUCGAGUUUCUCGCUCUUAAUCUUUGAUGGGGAGGCUUAUGAAGUACAAUCUUACUGGGGCAGCCUUAUCUUCUUUCUGUCAAUGAUGGAUGUGCUGCACGGCAACAAUCUACUACCCAAGAAAUCGUACCGUAAGAGUAGGUUGCUCAAGAUAAUUAUAGAGACAGUCUUUGUCUUUCUCAUUAGUGAGAUUACUAUGGCGUUUUUCUGGACCAAACUGGAAAGUACUCUUGACAUGAUUCUUCGUCUCAUCACUGAGACAGAUGCCACUCGCUUAUUUCUUUUGGAGGCGAUCACCGUGGGACUCAGUCUGUUCAACUGGGCGAUGGUCUCCCAGCCACCCAUCCGGACGGGCUGUAUAACUUCCUGUCCCGUACUUCCUGCACGUUUUUUGUGUGGUUCAAGGAAUUGGUCGGAAGUUGCUGCAAUCUGAUGAAAUCUCGUGAGCAACCCAAAGUUCGUCGCACUGAAAUUAAAGGAAUAUUGAAGAAUUCGAAAAACAAACGCUAGCUAAAUUGACUGGAAGUGAAAAUCUCUUGUGGGAAGCCUUAAUAAUGUUUACAUCGUAGUUUGUCUACUUAACAAAAUAUUCUUUAAUUUGAUACAUAUAUGUACAUAAAUAUAUAUUUAUGGAUGUGUGUGUC